UGUCAGUUCUGCCCUCAGACUGUAAAACACAUACUGUGUGCUGCAGGUGUAAGAAAUAUAUCUGCAAAGACUGUGCACUUGCAUACUGCCCUACAUGUGCCAAUUAGUUGAAUGGGUUAUGUUAUUUUUCAUAUUUUUGUAUUGUACAUCCUCUUGUUCACUGGAGAAAAGUAAAAGAAAAUUAGUCACUGUGAUGAAUAAAAAUGCAUUCGAAACUCAUUUUGCACAUUUUUUUUCUUAAGCUAUAGAAAUUCAAGUGGAGAGGGAAAACUCAAGUAUUCACACAUUUUGUGACCAGAGGAUCACACCUGUUGACAACAAACAAAGGUUUAACUACUGAAUUUUCAGUCAGAAAUGAUCGCACCACCUGGUUGAAGUACCUGUGUCCAUAUGCAAGUCAACAAAGCAGAGAGGAAACACCCGAUUGACAACAUGCGAGUCUCAAUUUCAACCUGUGACUGGGAAGACUACAACCAUCCUGAGCAACGUCUGAUCUCAGCGACUUGUGACUCUCAACCCAGAACAAGAAUCCUUUUAUCACCAUUUUGUCUUCUACAAUAUGUUAUCUCUUAUGUGGACACAUACUGUUUGUUUUGUUUAUGU